rnacentral:tRNA from 1 species
GGCCACGUAGCCAAGUGGUAAGGCAAAGGUCUGCAAAACCUUUAUUCGGCGGUUCGAUCCCGCCCGUGGCCUCCA